CCUACGGGAGGCAGCAGUGGGGAAUAUUGCACAAUGGGGGAAACCCUGAUGCAGCGAAGCCGCGGGAGUGAAGAAGUAUCUCGGUACGUAAAGCUCUAUCAGCAGGGAAGAAAAUGACGGUACCUGACUAAGAAGCCCCGGCUAACUACGUGACAGCAGCGGCGGUAAUACGUAGGGGGCAAGUGUUAUCCGGAUUUACUGGGUGUAAAGGGAGCGUAGACGGCAGCACAAGUCUGGAGUGAAAUCCCGGGGCUUAACCCCGGAACUGCUUUGGAAACUGUGCGGCUGGAGUGCAGGAGGGGUAAGCGGAAUUCCUAGGGUAGCGGUGAAAUGCGUAGAUAUUAGGAGGAACACCGGUGGCGAAGGCGGCUUACUGGACUGUAACUGACGUUGAGGCUCGAAAGCGUGGGGAGCAAACAGGAUUAGAUACCCGAGUAGUC
rnacentral:rRNA from 1 species